GGAAAUAUACUUUAUACUAGAAGAACUGGUUUGCAGCCAGUAAGAGAAUUAAUUCUUUCUCCU
rnacentral:tRNA from 1 species